rnacentral:tRNA from 1 species
GCCUGCGUAGCUCAGGGGAUAGAGCGUUCGCCUCCGAAGCGAAAAGUCCCAGGUUCGAAUCCUGGCGCGGGCACCA